AGAAUCAACGCUGGCGGCGUGCCUAACACAUGCAAGUCGAACGAGAAAGUGGAGCAAUCCAUGAGUAAAGUGGCGCACGGGUGAGUAACACGUGACUAACCUACCCUUGAGUGGGGAAUAACCUAGGGAAACCUGGGCUAAUACCGCAUAACACCUACGGGUCAAAGGGGCAAUUCGCUUAAGGAGGGGUCGCGGCAGAUUAGCUAGUUGGCGGGGUAAUGGCCCACCAAGGCAGUGAUCUGUA
rnacentral:rRNA from 1 species